rnacentral:lncRNA from 1 species
AGCUAGCUAGUUGUGCAUGGGAUCUCCACCUACGUCAAGGUACACUCCCUGCGUAUUUUACUACUCCCACCGUCCAGAAAUAAUUGUCAUCAAAAUGGAUAAAAAGAGAUGUAUAUCCAUUUUGAUGACAAGUAUUUUCGGACGGAGGGAGUAUAUAUGUACUACAUGUCUACACGCCGCAUUUUUCCAAACCAUACACGUAUACGUUCAGUGACAUUUAUUUCAUAUAUGUAGGCUGGCAUCCGGUGUUAAUAAACUACCAUGGAGAAAAGUAAAGGACAACAAGAGAAAUUUCGGUUUGUUUGCUUUAUUUGGAAAACAAUAAAAAAAGGUCUUUUGUAACAAAUGUAAAAUAAAAUAGCAAAAAAGAGUGUUUGUUUAGUUUAUCGCCUUCUGCAGCAAAGAAAAAAUCACACAAAAAAAAAAACUUCGCUUGUUGGUUUUGUUGUCUUUUGUAGCAAAGUAGAAAUGAAAAUCACAAAAAAAAAAUGUUUAGUUGCUUUGUGGAAUCGA